GCCGGAUCCUUCCCGAUUCAUCAUCUUCGUCGCCGGUGAUGGCCGCGCCGAGUCAGGCGAGUCUCUUGCUCAGCAAGCAGCUCAGAGAUCUCAGCAGGCACCCGGUGGACGGCUUCUCUGCCGGCCUCGUUGAUGACUCGAACAUCUUCGAGUGGAGCGUGACCAUAAUCGGCCCUCCGGAUACUCUCUAUGAUGGGGGAUAUUUCAAUGCUAUCAUGAGCUUUCCACCGAAUUAUCCGAACAGUCCUCCGACUGUUAGGUUUAAGUCGGAGAUGUGGCAUCCGAAUGUUUAUCCGGAUGGG
rnacentral:misc_RNA from 1 species